CCCAUACCAAACGCGCCGCCGAUGUCAUCCAAAAUACGGUCCGGACAAGGUUCGCGAGAAGUCUCUGGCGUCCCCAUUAAAGAUUUGUAACGUUAUCGGGAGAAAUUUUGUUAGAGAAGAAGCUUUGUUUGAGACUACCGUCUCUAUGAGGAGCGAACUAGGUUUUCCAUCGGCGCUGCUGACGGCUCAAGAAUAGGUCGAAUCCCGAAUAUACCCCUCUUCAAGUCGGCGUGUCUAAGCGACCGGUACCACCUGUU
rnacentral:misc_RNA from 1 species